UAGGAAUGCAGUCUUCCAUGUGUCUCAUGU
rnacentral:piRNA from 1 species